rnacentral:rRNA from 1 species
UAGUAGAGAAGCGUGUGAGCCAGCUGCCAAGAAAAGCCGCUAUUGCUUCAUAAGUACCCGUACCGUAAACCGACACAGGUGGAUGAGGAGAGAAUCCUAAGGCCGGCGGGAGAAGUGUUGUUAAGGAACUCGGCAAAAUGACUCCGUAACUUCGGGAGAAGGAGUGCCACAGAGAUGUGGCCGCAGAGAAAUGGCCCAAGCAACUGUUUAGCAAAAACACAGGUCUAUGCAAAACCGAAAGGUGAGGUAUAUGGGCUGACGCCUGCCCGGUGCUGGAAGGUUAAGAGGAGAGGUUAGAGCAAUCGAAGCUUUGAAUUUAAGCCCCAGUAAACGGCGGCCGUAACGAUAACGGUCCUAAGGUAGCGAAAUUCCUUGUCGGGUAAGUUCCGACCCGCACGAAAGGCGUAAUGAUUUGGGCACUGUCUCAACAACACACCCGGUGAAAUUGAAAUACCAGUGAAGAUGCUGGUUACCUGCGCCAGGACGGAAAGACCCCAUGGAGCUUUACUCCAGUUUGAUACUGGGAUUCGGUACUGUCUGUACAGGAUAGGUGGGAGGCUAGGAAAUGGUGACGCCAGUUGCCAUGGAGCCAACCUUGGGAUACCACCCUUACAGUACUGGGUUUCUAACCUGCAGCCGUGACCCGGCUGGGGGACAAUGUCUGACGGGGAGUUUGACUGGGGCGGUCGCCUCCGAGAGAGUAUCGGAGGCGCUCAAAGGUUCCCUCAGAACGGUUGGAAACCGUUCGAAGAGUGCAAAGGCAGAAGGGAGCUUGACUGCGACACCGACGGGUGGAGCAGAUACGAAAGUAGGACUUAGUGAUCCGGUGGUAUAAAGUGGGAUUGCCAUCGCUCAACGGAUAAAAGCUACCCCGGGAUAACAGGCUUAUCACUCCCAAGAGUUCACAUCGACGGAGUGGUUUGGCACCUCGAUGUCGGCUCAUCGCAUCCUGGAGCUGUAGCAGGUUCCAAGGGUUGGGCUGUUCGCCCAUUAAAGCGGUACGCGAGCUGGGUUCAGAACGUCGCGAGACAGUUCGGUCCCUAUCCGGCGUGGGCGUAGGAUAUUUGGGAGGAGCUGUCCUUAGUACGAGAGGACCGGGAUGGACAAACCUCUGGUGUAUCUGUUGUUUUACCAAAGGCAUGGCAGAGUAGCCAAGUUUGGCAGGGAUAAACGCUGAAGGCAUCUAAGCGUGAAGCCCCCCUCAAGAUAAGAUAUCCCAUCUUCGGAGUAAGACCCCUUGAAGACUACAAGGUUGAUGGGCUUCAGGUGUAAGUGUGGUAACGCACUCAGCUGAGAAGUACUAAUAGGUCGAGGACUUAU